rfam:Myotis davidii contig323018, whole genome shotgun sequence.
GGCGGUUCUCAAGUGAUGCACCCCGGAAUCGGGCUCCCUCCUCUCCAGUUCCCGGUUUUCAUCACCCAAGAACCGCA